rnacentral:lncRNA from 1 species
UGUGGCGACCCCAAAUCCGGAUACUUGAAACCCGAACUCGGUUCUCCACGAUACCAUUUCUUUAAGCUGAAUAAUACUAAAUAAUAAUAUAAUUCGAACUUAAUUUACAUACAUCAAAGUUUACUUUCCCAGGUACGUGACCUUCAAAUACAUUCCUUACAAUACCUGACAAUAGAUUCCAUUGUCUUACUAACUAUAACCAUUAACUCAUACUAAUUCUCAUUCGAACAGCUUUUCUUUCCCUUUAUGCGUGCCUGAACCUUCAGGUUGCUCAUACAUAAUUGAAAACAUUUAAUUUAAGCAAGGAUGAGCAUUUGAGUGCCCAGCAAGUAAUAGCAAAUAUAUAUAUAAGCUGAAAGAAUAUAAGUAUUCUCUUUAAAUAACACUUCUACAACGAAUCGAAAGUUGUGAAGAAAUUUGUACUGAUAAAAAAUUCACAUAACAACUCUCUUUCAAUUUCUUGAAAUUAGGCUCCACCCAUGAAUAGGGUUUAAGAAACAUACUAUGAACAUUGUUUUUCAUUUUCGAAAAGGUUUAGCAGAAAUUCAUCCGCAAACCGUCAUAACUUACGGGCACGGAGGGUGAUCAGCCCCGUUGUACCCUGUAUUGAUC